rnacentral:rRNA from 1 species
AUUGAACGCUGGCGGCAUGCUUUACACAUGCAAGUCGAACGGUAACAGGGAGCUUGCUCCGCUGACGAGUGGCGAACGGGUGAGUAAUAUAUCGGAACGUACCCAGAAGUGGGGGAUAACGUAGCGAAAGUUACGCUAAUACCGCAUACGAUCCACGGAUGAAAGUAGGGGACCUUCGGGCCUUAUGCUUUUGGAGCGGCCGAUAUCUGAUUAGCUAGUUGGUGAGGUAAAGGCUCACCAAGGCGACGAUCAGUAGCUGGUCUGAGAGGACGACCAGCCGCACUGGAACUGAGACACGGUCCAGACUCCUACGGGAGGCAGCAGUGGGGAAUUUUGGACAAUGGGCGCAAGCCUGAUCCAGCAAUGCCGCGUGAGUGAAGAAGGCCUUCGGGUUGUAAAGCUCUUUUGUCAGGGAAGAAACGGUAGAGGCUAAUAUCCUUUGCUAAUGACGGUACCUGAAGAAUAAGCGCCGGCUAACUACGUGCCAGCAGCCGCAGUAAGAC